UACGUAGGGUGCGAGCGUUAAUCGGAAUUACUGGGCGUAAAGCGUGCGCAGGCGGUUUUGUAAGCCAGAUGUGGAAUCCCCGGGCUUAACCUGGGAACUGCAUUUGUGACUGCAUCGCUGGAGUGCGGCAGAGGGGGAUGGAAUUCCGCGUGUAGCAGUGAAAUGCGUAGAUAUGCGGAGGAACACCGAUGGCGAAGGCAAUCCCCUGGGCCUGCACUGACGCUCAUGCACGAAAGCGUGGGGAGCAAACAGG
rnacentral:rRNA from 1 species